rnacentral:rRNA from 1 species
AGGAGUUAGUCAGAAGAGGUACAGCUCUUCUGAUAAAAGAAACAACUUUAGUAGGUGAAACAGGAUCAUAUCAACCAAGGACUAAGAUUUAAGUGGGCCUAAAAGCAGCCAUCUUUAAAGAAAGCGUUAAAGCUCCAACUAACUUUCCUCCCCUUUUAUACUGAUAUUUAAUCUCCUCCCCCCUACCACCUACCGGGCUAUCUUAUGCCCACAUAAGAAUAAUUAUGCUAAAAUGAGUAAUAAGAAGAAACCAUUUCUUCUCCUAGCAUACGUGUAAGUCGAACCGGACCCCCCACCGAUUAUUAUCCGACCCCAAUCCCAGAGGGCCAUUAAGUUAAAAAAACAAGAAAAUCACUUAAUCAAAAUCGUUAAUCUCACACAAGAAUGCAUCAAGGAAAGACUAAAAGGGAAGGAAGGAACUCGGCAAACCCAAGCCUCGCCUGUUUACCAAAAACAUCGCCUCUUGAUCUAUAAAUAUAAGAGGUCUCGCCUGCCCAGUGACUAAAUGUUAAACGGCCGUGGUAUCUUAACCAUGCGAAGGUAGCGUAAUCACUUGUCUUUUAAAUGAAGACCUGUAUGAAUGGCAAAACGAGGGCUUAACUGUCUCCCUUCCCCAGUCAAUGAAAUUGACCUCCCCGUGCAGAGGCGGGGAUAAACAUAUAAGACGAGAAGACCCUGUGGAGCUUUAGACUUAAAAUAACCACGUUAAACAAACUCCAAUAUGAGAAAAAACCUAGUGAGCUUUAUUUAAAUGUCUUUGGUUGGGGUGACCGCGGGGCAAAACACAGCCCCCAUGAAGAUAGGGGAGAUAUCCCUAACACUAAGAGUUACCCCUCUAAGCAACAAAAAUUUUGACUUUAAAAAUGAUCCGGUUUAACCGAUUAACGAACCCAGUUACCCCAGGGAUAACAGCGCAAUCCCCUCCCAGAGCUCCUAUCGACGAGGGGGUUUACGACCUCGAUGUUGGAUCAGGACAUCCUAAUGGUGCAGCCGCUA